rnacentral:lncRNA from 1 species
UGUAAGCCAUUUUUUAAGUUUUAAGAAUAAAUGUAUGAAAGGUGGAUGAAGAUGAUGAGGAAUUACCCAGAAAUGGUCACUAAAGUUCUCUAUAAAUAUUUUAGCGAUCAAAUGUCAUUAUUUAGAAACUUUUUUUUUUGGAUUUGAAUCAUUUUUUGUUAAUUUUUUUCUAAAUGAACAGGAUUAUUUUUUAAUUAUGAAAUUUGGCU